rnacentral:lncRNA from 1 species
CCUGGAUAAAAAAUAAAAUCAAGUUAUUUUUGAGCCUGGGUCUAUUCACAAACGAUCGUUCGCUGUGUUCGGCACUGGAUUAAGACAAUGCUGUUUCGCAUUAAUUCAAUUCUGCUUUGUGUGUGUUUUGCAUAAGUUUGGUUAAACCACUCCUUACGAUGGCCGCAGCUAUGGACAUUCAAAUGCUGGACUCGGGAUUAAGAGUAGGGGCAACUUUCCCGGAGAGCCGUUCCGGACGACUUUACCGAAUUCGAGGACGAGGAAGCAGAUGAGCCGAGGGAUUGUUAGAGCGCAGAGGAGGCAAGGGAAAAGGAGGCAGGAGUCAUGAUUGCACCAGCGAUCAAUACGGAUGUAGAACUUGAGCGAUAGCACACGUUAAAAUGCCUCAAUUUUUUGAUAACUAUUUCAAAUAGUACAUAAUUCAAUUUGUCACCUUUCCGGCCAAAGUAUCACAAGCGCCCCGCACAGUGGAUCGAGUCAAUAGGAGAGGUCGGACAAAACUUGGAAACUUUAAAAGCUCAUAACUCCGUGUAAACACAACUUUGAGAUUUUAAAAGUAGUUUCAUUGGUUUCCUCGUGAAAUUUUCUUCUGAA